GGUUCGAUGGUGUAGUUGGUUAUCACGUCUGUCUCACAUUAGUCGACCUGGUUGUGGUCGCGUGCACACAGGAGGUCUCCGGUUCGAACCCGGGUCGAACCA